rnacentral:rRNA from 1 species
UAUCUCUGUAGAGUCUGCAUAUCAAUAAGCGGAGGAAAAGAAACUAACUAGGAUUCCCUCAGUAACGGCGAGUGAAGCGGGAAGAGCUCAAAUUUGAAAUCUUCAAGGUUCUACCUUGACGAAUUGUAGUUUAAAGAAGUGUUUUCUGUUGGAGUUUUGGUAAAAGUUCUUUGGAAUAGGACAUCAUAGAGGGUGAGAAUCCCGUAUUUGACCAUUAUUUCCAGCUUUGUGAUACACUUUCAAAGAGUCGGAUUGUUUGGGAAUGCAGUCCAAAAUGGGUGGUAAAUUUCAUCUAAAGCUAAAUAUUGGCGAGAGACCGAUAGCGAACAAGUACCGUGAGGGAAAGAUGAAAAGAACUUUGAAAAGAGAGUUAAACAGUACGUGAAAUUGUCAAAAGGGAAGCGUUUGACACCAGUGUUGUUUUCUCGAAAAUCAAUUAAAAAAGGCAGGAUUUUGUGUUGUAUUGACUUUAUCAGCUUUCUGCACUCUUUUCUUGUCUUUUUUUAAUGCACUUUUCGUUUAACAAGUCAACAUCAAUUUCUUUUGUUGUAAAAGGGUCAUUGGAAGGUGGCUUUCUUUUCGGAGAAAGUGUUUAUAGCCUUUGGCCUCUGCAAUCGGAGAGAUUGAGGUCUGCAGCGUAGAUCCUUCGGGGUUAGAUACAUUUGUGCUAAGUUAUAGCCUUUCAUAGACAACUUGUUGACUAUGAUCAGUCAUGUAGCUUACUCGCUUAUGCUAUUUUACCUACGCUUAGGAUGUUGAUAGUCACAGCGUGUAC